GGAGAGGAUUUUAAGUACAUGGAAGGAAGCUUCUGGAGAUCCUGCUCCGUCGCCCCAGUGUUCAGACUACCUGUUCAGGACAAUGCCGUUGUACAGUAGUCUGCACAUUGGUUAGACUGGGCAAGGGAGAGCAACGCCAUGGACUGCUGGGGACAAAAUGGGCUGUUUCCAAGGAGAAGACAUUUGUUUGCUCCUUUUUUGAAUCUCAUAUCCAGUGUUUUUCUUCACAGGUUUUGCACACUAGGGACCAAGAAGCCCUCGGGGACACUGCUGAGAAAAGACUGCCGAAGGGAAGACCAGCGGGAAAUAUACAAAUAUUUUAGAGAUCAUGGAAUCUAUUCCAGAGGAAACUAACCAACAGUGAGCAUCUUCAACUAAAACUACCCCUGGAUGUAAUGGUUGCAUGCAUCAUUCCUUUAAUUGAGCAGAGUUAACUGGAUCAAAUUAUUUAUGGGAGAGAGAGGAAAAGUUAUAAAGAAUUUUAGUAAUUUUCAAUUUCCACCACUAUACUCUUUGUAAGUGAAUCACUCUAUAAUUACUUUCUGUUGCACUGAAUGCAGCAACAGUAACACAAUAGUAUUUUAAGGCACUGGUGUUUGGCAUACUCUAACCUUGUAGCUAUUUAAAUAACAGACAAGUUUACUCAUGUUUAUUAUUCUGUCAAGGAAAAAAAAGUUCCUUUACUCGGAAGUGAUGGCCAGAAACAGAAUCAGAAAUUUAUUUUCUUGAAAUUACAUAAGUACACAGAAAAUGGCACAUAACAGCUUUUGUUAAAACAUUACCUUAUCUAAUCACUGCAUAAAAGUCCAGAUUUGUAGAAAAUUGUCAUUUUCUCAGUAUCUGAAAACUAUUUUGCUUUCCAUUAAGUUUCUAUUUGCUAUUUUCUCAGAAGUUUACAAUUAAAGAUAAAUCACAAACUAUUUGUUUUUCUUAAAGUUAUUUGAGAAAAUGUCUAAUUAUACAAUCCUUGGACAAUACUGUGUUUUUUGGUGCUGUGUUUUUUAAGAAGUCCUACUUUCUGGAAUUUUGACUAUUUGGAUAUUUUUGUUUUUAAAAGGGGAGGGGAAUUUGCUUAAUACUUCUACAAAUGUGAAUUGAUAAUUGAUAUUAAAAUAGUAGAAUUAUUCUCGACUCACGAGAAUUAAAUUAUAUCUGCAUAUUUAACACUAUUAGCUCUUAUAUAAAUUAUAAGAAAAAUUUUCAAAGGAUCUGGUUUUAAUUUUUUGGAUAUGAAAUGAAUUUGCCUUUUCUGCCUUUUCUUAAGGUACUAUUUUGUAACUAUGUUGCACUAACUAUAUCCAAAACACAUUCUGAGCAUCACUGUGAGUAACAACCUUCCAGUUUAUACCCUUUUGAUUCACAGCAUGUCCCUGUAGUUAAUUAAGAGGUGGAUAACUUAAGCUCACAACUGCCUUUAAUUUGAUUUCACAUCCACACUUAGAAACUUUGCAUUUAAAAGGAAAAUGAGACAUUUAAAUUGAUUCCUGUUGUUUAACAUAUAAUUGGUAAAAACAUAUUCCCUUGUAAAAAUCCUAUUAUCAAAGCAUCAGAUACCAAAGUCAGCAGCUUGGGUUGCCAAAUACAUUAGGCUCAUUAUUUUGAAAAGGGCUGCUGUUUCCAUGUAAAUGAUCAUUUUCUUUUUCAUGGGCAAGGUUAUUGUACUUAUCUACUAAAAGAAACAUGUACAAACAUAGUUUUUAUCUUUAACUUCAGUAUUAAAAUAUGCAGUUUUUUGCAAAGAGGAAAAACAUCUGGUUCAAUUACUCUGAACUCUGACUACAUGUGGGCCAGUACUAAUAUGAAUUGGAUUUAAGAAUAAACCUUGUGUUUAAUCUCUUUUUUUCCUAAAAUUUUAAUGUGAGUUUUCUGUUAUGCAAAUUAUCCAUGUUAGCACAUUUGGAACAAAUGUAUAAAUGUACUUUCUGAAUAAAGUCAAAAGUCUAACGUGUUUUUAGUUCCAUAAUGUUUUAAUGUUUAAUUAUAUUGUGUAUUUUUCUCCCUUUCCCCUUACUCUCCAAAAUCACCAAAUCUGGAAAACAGGCUGAUUGUAUCUGUCUGUGAGCAAAGGAAACCUGAAGGAACCAAGGGCCUGGCUGGACAGAGUUGUCAUGUGUCUGCCUGUCUACACUUGCUGUGCAGAACAUCCGCUCACCUGUACAGCAGGCACAGACAGGCAGUCACAUGACAACCCAGCCUGAAUGACAACCAGCCAUUGAAAGAAAGCAGCCCUCACACCAUAGCAUCUACACCAAGAGCUACAACCAAAAUGAGGGGCUUGGGGCCUGGGGCUUUAAUCUGUUGGUUUAAUACUUAACUCAUGUAUUAUUUUAUUUUGAUUCAAGUAUUAAAACCCACCAAAAGUAAAGUGAGUGGUGCCUAUGAAAUAUAAUAAAACCCAUUUCUGAAAAUGUU